rnacentral:lncRNA from 1 species
UGUGUAGCAUGAGAGGUAGCACAAGAAUGAUCUUUGUUAAAAAUUGUAAUUGUUUUAAUAAGAAAAAAAUUAAUAUAUUUAACCCAUCAUUUCAUGUAUUUCCUGGGUAUUAGUGGUUUUUUUUUUUUUUUUUUUUGACAGACAGAGUUAGUGAUAGAGAGAGACAGAGAGAAAGGUCUUCCUUGCGUUGGUUCACCCCUCAAAUGGCCACUACAGCCAGCAUGCUGCGCCAAUCUGAAGCCAGGAGCCAGGUGCUUCCUCCCGGUCUCCUAUGCGGGUGCAGGGCCCAAGGACUUGGGCCAUCCUCCACUGCCUUCCCAGGCCACAGCAGAGAGCUGGACUGGAAGAGGAGCAACCAGGACAGAAUCCGGCGCCCCAACAGGGACUAGAACCCAGGGUACUGGUGCCGCAGGUGCAGGAUUAGCCUAGUGAGCCACAGCGCUGGCCGGGUAUUAGUGUUUAAGAUGAGACCAAUAUUAUGUAUUCAGGCCAAAAAAGAUAGUUCAACUUUAAGGAUAAAUUUAAUUCUCUUACUCUGGAUCUAUUUAUGGGUUCUCAGUUACGAGUUCCCAAUUUUUCUUUAGGUAAAGCUUCUGCUCUGAUCAGAGGUCAGAUAUUUGCUGAAGGUCAACUGUCAACAGUGAUCAGCAAAGCCGGAUUUCAUAGCAGGCUGCCCUACGCUGGACCUCCUGCUUGCAAACACUCCACUGAACUGUUUCCUGAUACCUCUGGAGGCUCUGCCUCUCUUGAUGCCUUCCUUUGUACCUCGCCACUUCCCACCAGGGGCUGAUACAUGUCCUUGCUGGCCCAGGAUCUGUGUCACAACAUUCUGAACAGAUUAGGGUAGGAGGGGCACAGCACCAUGAAAAGAAAGUGUGUGCGUGUACACACACACACACAAUCCCCUUGUGCCCUGAAAGCAAAUCCUGUGUGUACACACACACACACACACACACAAGCCCCUUGCUCAGCCAUUCUGUUCUUUCAAUAUCCUUCAGCUGAUAUUUCUCCUGUUACAUAAGGGGAAUGUUAUACAAAUGCUUCCGCCAUGAGUUUCCUUGCAGAAGAUGAAUAAAAGAACAAGACGUUUUGUUUUCCUUUGUUCC